rnacentral:rRNA from 1 species
CCUACGGGUGGCAGCAGUCGAGAAUCAUUCACAAUGGGGGAAACCCUGAUGGUGCGACGCCGCGUGGGGGAAUGAAGGUCUUCGGAUUGUAAACCCCUGUCAUGUGGGAGCAAAUUAAAACGAUUGUACCCCAAGAGGCAGAGACGGCGAACCACGCGACAGCAGCCGCGGGAAGACAGAGGUCUCAAGCGUUGUUCGGAAUCACUGGGCGUAAAGCGUGCGGUGGCGGUUUCGUACGACGGGUGUGAACGGUGGGGGCUCAACCCGCGGACGGCACAUGAUACUGGGAGACUAGAGUAAGGGAGAGGUAGCCGGAAUUCGCGGUGUAGCAGUGAAAUGCGUAGAUAUCGGGAGGAACACUCGUUGCGAAGGCAGGUUCCUGGACAGUAACUGACGCUGAUGCACGAACGCCAGGGGAGCGAAAGGGAUUAGAUACCCUUGUAGUC